CGGAUCUGCAGUCUUAAAGGAGCCCAGGCGCCUUGGAGAGAGGCUGGGAAGGAGGAAGGAGACCUUGGUGGCUCAUGGUGGCAGAGGCCGAUCCUGGGCUGAAGCUGGGACAGGUAGAGACAUGCAGUGGCAUGCUGCCUACCCACAGGUACCCUCAGAUGAGCUGGGUCAGGAGCUUGCCUGCUGGAGAAGUCUUACAAAGGAAGGUCACUGCUAGAUGGGCACACGGAGGGGCAGGGUACUCAUUGGAGGGCACAUCGACACCCAAACCCACCCCUUUGAACACAGAAGCAGGAAUCCAGAGGUGGCAGCAGAGGACUGAAGUGAGAAUCCCAGCUGUAGCCCAGUCCUGUGACUGUGGGCAAUAGGCAAAGGCCUGUCUUCCUGUGCCUCAGUAUGUCUAGCUGUGAGAUGGGUAUGAGGACAGCCCAGACUGAUGCAGCAGGCUAGUGAGAGAAUGACCUAGGUCAAAGUGCACGUAGUUCCUUGCACAAGGUGGCCCAAAAGACAAGGUGCCGGGGAUUUUUGGCGCCCGUACUGUUUGCUCCUCCGCCUCAGGGAUAUUUUUCUCUAGCCCUUGUAGAUCCAGAGCUAGUGUUUUGGCUCUGCCGCAUGUCUACUUCUGUGCCUCUAGGUGUUUGCCAUAGAGGGCAUGCUCAGAUGGCCUCUGAGUACCCAGCUCUCUUCUCCAUUAGUCAGGCUGCUUCUGGACCAAAUCAUUGAACUGCUUUUGGUCGCCCCAGAAUCCCGUUUCGCUUCCUGGCAUCUCUCUCCCCCCCUUUGCCCUUCUCCAUAUCCACCACUCCUCCUUCGACAUCCCUGCCUCCAAUCCAGCUCUUGGUUGGGAUCUAGGAGGAUGACUUUGAGCCUGCCUACCCUCUAGACUCCUCACUUCUCUGACUGUCAACUCCAAGCCCCUCAGCUGUCUGGACGCUCACAGUCCUAACCGUAAGCACCGUUCGGUUUGUAUCUCACUUCAAAUGGUGUGGCAGCCCUGGCAUCUAACCGGCCACCUAGUCUGAGCCCUGGGGUCCUCCUGAACCUUAAUGGGGGUGAGUUACAUGGGAUGCUGGGAGAGCUCAGUCUUACGAUCCUCUCUCCUACUUGUCCGCCUCUCUCAAUCUCACCCGGGUUCAGCCUUGCCCUUUGCCGCUUGGAUCCCAACUGUAAUUUGCUCCUUCAGUGGGCUGAGUCUAUUGCCUCUUCUGACAUAGUUCCCUUUCAGCAGCCACAGGGUGUUUCUUAAUCCCAUAUCCCGUCUGACCCUUUCCUUCUCUCCUCCCUCCUUCCCUCUCCCUCUGCCACCUAGCUGCAUCCUUGUCUUCUGCCUCAGCCUUUAAGAUAAAGCCACGGGCUUCUUACAAGUAUCCCUCAUAACCCCACCCCCACCCCCUCCGACCGUAUCAUCACCUCCCUAGGCAGCUUUCCUUUUCUCAUCCCCCAAAACCUCCCUCACAGGCCUUGGAGCAUCCUUCUGUAGCACUUUGUCCCAAGCCUCUUCACCUCCCUCAGCCCCACCUCUUUCCUCCCUCCUCUUCUACAUCGGGUUUCUAGCUCCUUCUGGUCUAACCUCGCUCUACUUCCUCAAUCUGCUGCUCCCCUUUUCUUUUUCUGAAAUGGUCUCACUAUAUCACCAAGGCUGGUCUUGAACUCCCAGUCCUACUUGCUUCACCCUCCAGAGUGCUGGGUGACAGGCACGCGCCACCACACCCAGCUUACUUGGUGCUUUUCGUUGGCAGCAUGCCCCGUUUAUUGCCAUGAUGGAUUUAUUGCACAAUUCUAUGCUUCCUGCCUAUCUGUCCUCUCUGAUGGGUGGGCACUGGGAGAAGAGCCUGGGGGAUAUCUCAGAUGUUGCUGCAACCCAUGGAAAAGGCCUGCCACACGUUAGACUUAAAAAAUGGCAUUUCUGGGGUGAAGUAGAAACUUAAGCGUUCUUUGCAAAGUUAUUUGGAUGGUGUUUUGCUGGGGUGAAUGCGUGAAGGAACGUUUCAUUAAAGUGGACACAUGUGAAAGGCUAAGGCAGACUCGUGAAGGAACAUUUUGCUGAAGCACACACAGGAGAGAGGAUGUUCUGCUAAAUCAAGCACGUGAAAGGACACGUGAUGGGGGAUUCUUCGCUAACAACACGCAGGUAUUGGUCCGCCUUACAUUGCAUAGUUGAGUUUCGUUUGUUGGGACUCCCCAGACGUGGGCAGAUUGGAGGCAUGUGCUGAGGCAAGGCACGUGGAGGACACACGAUGUUUGGAGGGUGUUAGAGAUUGGUUCUAAUGCUUUGAUUCAGUUGGGAAUCUUCGUGUACAAACACUAAAGGUCCUUGUCCCCAACUGGUUUUUGAACAAUCAAUAAAAAUGGCAGCAACCAAUGGUUGGGCAAAGGGAGACGGGGUGGGACCCUUAGAGUUGGUGGGCUGGGACACAGGAGAGAGGAGAAGACGAGAAGACGUAGAGUCACAGAAUUGCCACGACUUGGGGGUUGGUGUGUGUGUGGGGGAGAUGGAUGAGAUUUAGAGCUUCAGAGGGAAGAGCAUCCGAAACCUAGGUGUAAAAAGAAAGCGGCCCCGGGAGGGCUGCCCAGAAGCGUCUUGGGCAGCAGCAAAGACCAUUGGACCUCACUGAAGGUAACAGGGCAGCAAAGUUAAAAGUAGACUUAGAAGGUGUUGUGCCAGGAGUACAGGAGGGAAAAGCAUACUAGCAGGGGAAGGUUUAGGAGUGCUCAGCUUUGAGGUAGCCAAGGCAUUUCAAAAAUAAGCUAGUGUGAGGCUGGGGAUUUAGCUCAGUGGUAGAGCGCUUACCUAGGAAGCGCAAGGCCCUGGGUUCGGUCCCCAGCUCCGAAAAAAAAGAACCAAAAACAAAAAUAAGCUAGUGUGGGUGUGUGCGUGUGUGCGUGUGUACGUGUGUGCGUGUGUGUGUGUGUGUGUGUGUGUGUUUCAUUCAUGGAUCCAAAGUUUCCCUGGGCAGGUGGCUGGAAGCAUGACCUACCGGGAGCACACAGCAGUGUAGCUCAAACUCACCCCACAGGAGGGUAUAAACAGGACUCCCUGGAGUGAUGGAGACAGAGCUUGGCUUGCUAGUACAGCUAGCUGUGCAAUGCUUGUGGGUCUUGAGUCUUCUCUGAUCUUUGCUUUCCUGAGAGAGGUGCAGCUGAGAACCUCUCCUGCUGUUCCUGUUGGUCCUUCCAACUGACUCAAGCUGAGGCUGAGACUUGCCGCCUUUGCUAGUUUGGACCAUUACUGUUGCUAACCCGACUCUACCACACUGGACUGCUGGUCUACCUGUGAAGUGUUUGUGAAUGGAUCGAGCUGACCUGCUGGGCUGUGAAGUCAACUGCUGGUUUCCAGACGACAGAGAUGGAAGUUUCUCCAAAGACCCUUCCUAAACACGUCCACUUCCCCCGCUGUCUCUGGUGGGUGGUGGGCUACAAGGGAGGUUACACUGGGGUACACAGGUCCAUCCCAGUACUGGGGCUCCGACUCGGGUAUAUCAAGCGCUUUACCUAAGUCAAAGUCAGGCGUGGUUGUCAGCACCUGUAACUCUAGAGGAGGUGAAUAUGGGUGGAUCCCUGGGGCUUGCCGGCGAGCCAGUCUACCGUUAACUGUGAGCCUCGGGCUCAGCGAGAGACCCUAUCUCAAAGAAUGAGGUGGAGGGGCUCUGCAGCUAGCAGCACUAGCUGCUGUUCCAGGGGACUUGUGGCUUCAAUUCCCAGUACACACUUGGCGGAUCACAACCAGUUCUGUUCUGGAUCAUCUGAUGCCCUCUUCUGGCCUCUACAGGGACCAGGAUUUUUCUGUGUGGCUGUGGCUGUCUUGGAUCUCCCUUCAUAGACGAGGCUGGACUUGAACUCACAGAGAUCCUCCUGCCUCGGGCCCCUGAGUGCUGGGAUUAAAGGCGUGUGCCACCACCUCUCAGGGCCCCAUUCUUACUUUUAUUAAAAAUAUUUAUUCAUUUA